rnacentral:misc_RNA from 1 species
CUUGGCACUCCUCCUCCUGAAUCCAUUUCAAGAAUUAGGAAUGAAAAGGCAAGAAGGUACCUUAAUUGCAUGCGGAAGAAACAACCAGUUCCAUUCUCACAGAAGUUCCCUAACGCAGAUCCUUUGGCUCUGCGCCUAGUCGAAUGCCUACUUGCAUUUGAUCCUAAAGAUCGUCCAACAGCUGAAGAGGCAUUAGCUGAUCCUUAUUUUCAAGGUUUGUCAAAUGU